rnacentral:rRNA from 1 species
CCUACGGGAGGCUGCAGUGGGGAAUAUUGCACAAUGGGGGAAACCCUGAUGCAGCGACGCCGCGUGAGUGAAGAAGUAAUUCGUUAUGUAAAGCUCUAUCAGCAGGGAAGAAAAUGACGGUACCUGAGUAAGAAGCCCCGGCUAACUACGUGCCAGCAGCCGCGGUAAUACGUAGGGGGCAAGCGUUAUCCGGAUUUACUGGGUGUAAAGUGAGCGUAGACGGCAGUGCAAGUCUGGAGUGAAAGGCGGGGGCUCAACCCCCGGACUGCUCUGGAAACUGUACGGCUGGAGUGCAGGAGAGGUAAGUGGAAUUACGAGUGUAGCGGUGAAAUGCGUAGAUAUUAGGAGGAACACCAGUGGCGAAGGCGGCUUACUGGACUGUAACUGACGUUGAGGCUCGAAAGCGUGGGGAGCAAACAGGAUUAGAUACCCCAGUAGUC